UCGCGGUGAAGGAGGCCACGAAGAUGGAGAGCAUCCCGAAGUCCAGCAGGUUCCACAGGUGCAGCACGUACUCCCGCGGGCCCUCCUCCCAGAUUUCCUUGCAUUCAGACCAAAUCAUUCCUGUGGGCGAGGGAGAAGGCACGAGUGAUGUGGCAGUAAGGACUGAUGGAUUGCACACUGCAAAGACAUCAGCUUCCAUUGUCACCUCUGCUGGUGAUUCCCAGGUUUUUACCUCCAACCCCAGCUGUAUUCUAAGGAGCUGACUGGAAUAUUCAACUGUCAAGUGGUCAUCUACACUGGUAAGCUCCGCAGACAUUUCAAACUCUGCAUGCUCCACACUAAACAUGUCUUCCGUCUAACAAGAAAACCUGAUCUGCUUUCUGUUUCAGGAAAUAGAGGUCCUGUCCACUCAGCCUCCUGAGCUAGAAACCCUGGGUUCCUCUUUGUCUUUGCCAAUUAUUUACCAAGAUCUGUUGAUUGUGAUCUGAAGUAUCUCUUAUGUCUGACCCCUCCCCCUCAUAUUCAUAGUCAUCAUCUUAAUUCAAGUCCUUAUAAUUUGGUGUCUAGACUUUUGAACCAGCCUCCUGAUUGGUCUGUUUCCAACAACACUUCCUUCUUCUACCCAGAUGCCAAACCAUCAUCCCCUUCAUUACAAAGCCACAAGAUAAAAUCCAAGCAUCUUUAUUGUCAUACCUCAACAUACCUCACCAAUAUCAGCCUCCUUCCCAUAAACCCAACUCCCCUCCAGCCACACCUGUCCACUAAGUACACUGGGCCGUCAUGCCUCUGCACGUGCCCAUUCCUCUGCUUUUCUGCCUUUCUUUCUCUUCUCCAUUUGCCUAACUCCUACACAUCCGUCAAGAACCACUUCAAAAUCUCUCUUCCUGGAAGCCUUCUCUCACACUGCUAGGAAGUUCGUUGCUCUCUCACAGCAUUUUGCUCCUUCUCUACCACAUUACAAUUAUCCCUUAACAUUCCAGUCUCUCCCAUUGCUUCGAGGACAGUCUGGGUCUCACCUACACUUGUAGCCCUAGUACCUAGUACAGUAUCUGGAACACAGAGGGAAGAGUGACCUUUGCUGGUAAAUCAUUUAACCACUCUCAAUCCGUUUCCUCAUCUGUAAAAUGUGAAUAAUAAUCUCUUCUUAAAUCUCAACUUAGCUGUUGCUUGUGACAAAGUCUCUGUAGAAAUGAGAAGCAUAAAGGGCUAGGGAAGCGGGGAGCCAUUAGUCCAAGCACCUGGCUUUAUGAGUGAGGAGGAGGAACUGCAGAGCAGUAAAGUGGCUGAGCCGAGGUCUCACAGAAGUCCACGGUAGAGCCUGGGUCUCCUCACUCCAUGCCUUUUUUUUCCGCCUCUCUGUUUGUGGAGCCUCACCUGUCGAGGCCCAUCCUAGUAUUGCCUCAAAGGAUUUUCUUUUAUGAUGUCAUAUCACAUGUGACAUAGGCCAUGUCCUGGGCAGAGUGUGACCACAAAGCUCCAAGCUACUUGGUUCCUUCACGUGAUCUCCAAAAUCUGACUACUGUGAGAGCACGCCUCAAAUAUCUGCUUUAGGUGAAGAAAGGAUCCAACUCUGUGUGUAAAAUCUGGUUUCUAAAUUUGUGAUCUUAGAGGAGAUACCAUUUAGGGAAAGAGACUCUUGUCCCUAAUUUUUUCAGCUAAAUUAAAACAUUUUUUCCUUUUCCUGCACAUUUCCUAGAACUCAUCUCCAUGUUUAUGUUAAAAUAUCAGUUUUAAGCACAUAAAACAUCAGGUUUCUGAUGUGCUGUGGGAGGGUGUUGGGUGAAUCCUUUGGAGUAUAAACUUUAAGCAAAAUUAAUAAUCACCAGAUAAGAGAAAUCGUCAUCAGAAAGAUCCCUGGGCCACUGUUUUUAAAGAACAUGUAAGAGAAGCUGGGGAGAGCUGUUAACUCAACGGCAGAGCCCGGGCCUUCAUCAUGCAAAAGGCCAGCAGCUGCAUGCUACUGCUUCCAAGAAUGCGAACAUGAGCUCUGACCCCCCAGGUCCAAGACACUGUGUUGUUAGUCAGUGUGAAGUGUGUUUAUUUCCAGGAUGUGUGAGAGAAGCAGUGCUUAGCAUAUCAGUGUGGCUCUUCUGAAUUUUCCAAGCAUUUAUCCAUCAGAGAUUGACAAGCCUGCUCUGGAGCCCAGAAAAACAGGUCAUUGUUAUUAAUUUCGCACCGUGGAUAUGGGAGAUGGAGAUAAUCAUAGUCAUAUGAAAGAUAAUCAUGCUACUGAGUAUUUGGGGAGCCUUUUCUGUUUGAGAAUUGGUAAUCUUUAGAAAAUUUUAGCUUCAGUCAUUCUUACAUCACUGUAAUUUCAGGACUAGGUAUACACCUUUAGUUGUCUUCAUUUUCCUGGAUCUUAUACCAUACUGCUUCUAUCGUGACCAGACCCUGUACCCCUAAUUCCUCCAGACCUCCUGGGGUUGGCAAAAAAGUGUAGACGGUACCACACCACCUGAUCUGUUUUCUUGAGAGCCAAGGGAAAAAAAACAUGGCCUCCUUUCGCUCAGGUGGUACCUGUUUUGAAAGGAAGCCUGUGACAGGAUAUUCAGAGUGGUUAUUGCAGGGUGUCUUAUCCCUCCACAGCAUUUGAGUGUAUAACACGUACAGUACGUACUGAUCACAUAGUUUAUAAAUGGAAAAGAGGAGAGAGAGAGACACUUGGUUCAUCAAUGCCAAGUGCGAUUUCUCAAUGAAGGAGACUUUUUUUUUUCAUUCUGCAAUCAAAUGCAGUUCUCUCAAUUUUCUUGAUUGGUAUUAAAUGGAACUCUACCUUGGAUCCGGGAGCUGCAGUGGUAUUUGCCAGCUUCUUAUAAUUCAUGGGCUUGAAGGGUAGCAGAAUAUGCCACCCCAAAAUAUGCUACUUUAGCAUAAGGAUUAUUUUGAGCUGAAGGCAAUUAAGAAGCAGAUACGAGAAAAGCUGUCUGCCCUCCCCCUAUGUGGCUAAAAGUAGGAUAUAAAUUUGUAGAAGGUGUCCUCCCUUCCCUUUCUACCAGGAACGGCAGAAGUUGAUCAGAGAGAUGACUGAGACCCUUAUCAGCCCAGAGGCAGCACCAGAGGAAUCUAUAUAACAAACCCUGCUCAAACUCGCCCUCACCUACGAUUAGUUUCCCCAUAUAUUUACCUUCCCACAAUUUGAUGCCCCUAGGAAGCUCCAAGUCCUUUUCCUUGUCUCGUCACUUCUGUAAAAAUUUACUGCUCUUUUGUUAAGAUGCUGUAUAAACACAAGUCCUAACCACCCCUUUGACUUACUCAUCUCUGAGUGCUCCCAUCUGUUUGCAAGAGGCGCAUGUUAAUAAACUUCUAUUUGUUUUUUUCUUGUUAA